AUUGAACGCUGGCGGCAGGCCUAACACAUGCAAGUCGAGCGAGCGGCGGCCGGGUGAGUAAUGUCUGGGAAACUGCCCGAUGGAGGGGGAUAACUACUGGAAACGGUAGCUAAUACCGCAUACCAUCAGAUGUGCCCAGGUGGGAUUAGCUAGUAGGUGGGGUAACGGCUAACCUAGGCGACGAUCCCUAGCUGGUCUGAGAGGAUGACCAGCCAUACGGGAACGGAGAAACGGGCCAGACUCCUACGGGAGGCAGCAGUGGGGAAUAGUGCACAAUGGGCGCAAGCCUGAUGCAGCCAUGCCGCGUGUGUGAAGAAGGCCAUCGGGUUGUAAAGCACUUUCAGCGGGGAGGCGUUACCCGCAGAAGAAGCACCGGCUAACUCCGUGCCAGCAGCCGCGGUAAUAC
rnacentral:rRNA from 1 species